GGAAAGGCAAAUUUAAGGUAACAGGGCUUCUAACCUUGUUGUGGGUAGGUAUCCCCUUUCCU
rnacentral:tRNA from 1 species